ensembl:lncRNA
ACCGCAUAUCUUUUAAGAAGUUGCAGUGAUUCUGACACCAAUUCUGUGUUUUGUUUCCUUGCUGGCUAAAAUUCAAGUAGUUGGUUCAGGCUGGGGUGCAGCUUGUCCAGCACCAGAUCUCUGAGCAUGGCCAACAGCGGUAAUUUGGGGAGAGUGCAAUAAGCAAGAGAGAGGUAAUUCGCAUAAAGAGUGGGGCAAAACAACUGAGGGUUGGAAUAAUGUUGUUUUUUGCAUCUCUUAGAUGAGAUUAAAAAAAGUCAUUGUAUUUCUCCUUAUAUAAAGUAUAAAAGAUAUUUCUGUGUAUGUGUGCUUAUCAGCCUAUUUAAGAGAUCUUUCUUUUAGUUGAGUCCAGCUCCUUUACAAAAGCAAGUUCUGGUGUCAGCAUAGGGAAAGAAAAAAAAAAAAAAACCAACAGCAUAACAGUGGAACAGAAGACACUUUAAGCUUUCUAUAUAAUUAAUUACAGUAAUUUUAAAAUCCUGUGCAAAGUCUGUGCUUGGAGAAGUUCUAAGUUACAAUUAAGCCAAGCUGCUAAUGGUAGAUCUAAUUGUUGGGUUACAUACAGGCACAGGUAACACAAGUUGGGCCACUGGCAUCAGAGAUUUCACCUAAUUGUUUUCUGUUUAUGCUUCUAAUUCCACACAACUGUUCCAGCAGCUGGAAUGACCGGCACGAGGUGAAGCUUGGAUGACUGUCAAGAGUUUGCCCUGACAAACUUAACUGGCCAAAUGUCACUGGUCUUUAAAGCUACCGUGUCUUUACUCUGUCCUAAGCUUCUGGGGAACACUGCUUAGAAUCAUAGAAUGACAAGGUUGGAAAGGACCUACGAGAUGGUCUAGUCCAACCAUCCUCCCGUUACCCUUGCUACCAUGAGCUACUAAACUGUAUCUUGUAGGUCCUCAUCCAGACGCCUUUCUUUUCCCUGACAGUGUUCAAGAGGCUUCUUUAGCACCACUCCUGCUGAGCCCCCAGUACCAAGGGACUUGAGAUGGGAGAAAGAAUUAGAUGCUGAAGUGGCUCUGCAAAGUAUCCCGUUCUAUAACGGCACUCGUGAAAUAUCACGUUUCUGAAGAAACGAAACAUGCAGUUGAGGCAAAGGUCAUGUUCAGCAGUGUUGUCAGGCUUCAUUGUGGUAUUGGUGACUCUGCUUUUAAAAGUAAAAAUGGAUUCUUUCUUUCUGUUCCAUCUUUCAGAGAAUUUUCUUCUCCAAAAUAUUAUAAAUGUUGCAUCAUACGUGCAAAGACCUUUCUUUUACUGCAGAUAUAGGGCUGAGUGUCAUAAUUGAUAAAAGGAUACCAAGAUAAACAUCCAACCUUGGGCGUUUAUUAUUAAGGUUACAUUUAAAGUCUAAAUACAGAAUGCGUGGAAGUUAGCAGCUGAACCACUGAAGCAGCCUUUCUGCUAUACAGUGCAGUGUGUAAAUACCAGGGGAUCUUGAGGAGAGCGUUUAUGUUCUUGUUUUUGGACUGACAUUAAAGGCUUUGAAAAAUGAUUUCAUCUACAUUUAUUUUUGCAGUGUGUUCUUUUUCACUGUAACAUUGAAAAGGUUGUUUCUGCCUUAAUUGUAGCAUCUCCGUUUUGUAUUCUGGUUUUGUCUGCUUUCUAAAGUAUAGGAAUUAGGGAUCUGUAUUCUCGGUCUUAAACCUCUUUGUAACUUCUAGCUGUUACUUAUUUAUUAAUCUAUGCAUUUGGUAGUGCUAGACAGAGAUGACAAAGUGGCUAGCUUUUGCAGAGUAAGAAAGAGAGGAUCCAGCAAUUUUGCAUCUUUCAAGUAGUUUUAAGGAAAGGCUAGUGGAUAAAUCCUGGCAGAAAUGUUUAUGAAAGCUGUUCAUUUCUUCCCUCUUCACUUCUUGUAAUGAGAAGAUAUUUUGCAAAGGCUCACCCUUACCCUCAGAAAGCUGUCUUCUAGUAUUUUCUUGUUAAUGAAAUUUUUAGUCAAUGAGCUGUUCCCAAAUAGUAAUAGGCCAAGCCAGGAUGUGCAUUAGCAGGCUAAUGGCAGGCAUCCUCCCUUGCUGAAGGCAGUGUGUCUCAUGGCAGUCCUCUAGGAGUUGGCUGCAUCACUUGGAGCACUUAAUGUUGGCUCUGCUAAAGCACUUCUUGUCCUCCCAUCAUCUCCUUUGGGAGACUUCUCCAUUGACUAAUAGAUCUCACUUGUCAGGAAGCCUUUCCUGUUCUUCAGUCUUACUGAUCUCAGUUCCAAUACAUCUAACUGUAAUUUCUUCGACUACUCUUUAAUGAAAUAUUAAUAAAGAGAGGCAAAAAGCCAUCACAUUUAUAUUCAUACCAAAAAUGGAAACUAAUCUGUAGUUUGGUCUUCAUUGUAAGACUUGUGGAACUAACUGUUCAACAGUAGUAGUUAAAUGCUGCCUGCAUAUGCAUCAGGCUGAUACUGUCAGGACCUGAAGUUGGCUUGCAUAAAUCCAUCCAUAAAUAAAACUACUGGGACUUGGAAUCUGUCAGGAACCGGUGUGUGUGUGCCUGUGACAUGUGCAAAAGCUGGCAGCUACUGAAAGCAAAGCUGACCUUCCUGGGGCUCCUGGGACAUUUGCGAGGUUGCACAGUGCAGCACUGGUUGAGGUGUCAUGGAGAAACCAGGGCUCUGGGUGUGGGAGGGGAACCACCGGGGCUACAUUUUGUGAGAAGAAUGGUGUUGGUGUGGCAGCAGCCUGCAUAGCUCCAUCCGGUGCAGUGGAAGCUGCUUGCAGCCAUUAUUGCCACCAAGAGAGGCUGGUGUGCAGGAAGCAGCUGAGAGAGGUUUGCACAAGGACUUUUUGUUUGGUUGCUCACAUCAUAUCAGUGUUUGGGCUAUUGAAAGGGAUUUGGCCUUUGGAUCUUGCUUGCAUCUCUAUUUAUUUUUGCCUAUUCUCAGUUCUCUUUGUGAAUACCAAUUUUCUGAGUCACCCAGAAUGAUUCCUGCCUUCAUUAGGGAUUCUUUCCAGCUUCCCUUUAACUGCCUGUAGGCUGCUGCCUGCCCCUGCCUCCCCCUGUGCACUUUGCUGCACAGACUUAGCUCUCAGUGUUCUGUAAGUCAUCUCAGGCAGCUGAAUACCUUCAUCCACAUGAAACUGUACUGUACCUUUGGCUCUUUGCAUAGCUUACAUUCUUCACCUGGCUUGUUCUGUGCCAUCCCUGCAACCCCUGGCAUUUAAGGUGUGGUAUGAGGCCAUAGUUUAUUCCAGGCCUACAGUAACUGUGCUUGAGGCUGUUCGAGUGAAAUGGUUAAAUCAGGAAGCUGAGCAUCCAGAUCCUUUAAUCUCUUUCUGUUACACUGUGUCCUUGUGUGUCAUCCUGGAUAAACCCAUUUACCUACUGGUGUCUUUAUUUCUUUGAUAUUCGUUAGUGUUUAAAUUGUCUACAAUAUCUACACCACACAAACAGGACAGCUUUUUUAGAAACCUAAAUUAAAAGAUGCAAUAUAAAUAAGAAGUAAUUGUAUGUUCUUUAAUGGGUAUUCUUACUUGAGUUGCUGACCUCUGUGGUACUCAAAAGCUUGUCAACAAGAAAUCAAAAAAUCAAUAAGGAAAAUAACCUGGGAUGGAGGAUGGGUCUCUAAUUGCCGCACUGAGUGUCAAUAGGAUAAAUGUCUUAAUGCUGAUUAAUGACUGUCCGUAAUGGUAUUCAAAAAAUGUAGGUUUGCUGUGGCUUUUUCAAAGUCCAGAUGAGCUGCUUGGAGCUCUGCUAAUGAUGCAAAUUAUUUAACGCUCAUUUGUAUGCAGUAUGCUCCUGCUUUGAAAGUACUUCACAGAAUUCAAGCCAAAUUCAGCCUUACAGCUCCACUGAAGUCAGUGCUUGUUUGUGCAUCUGUUGAUUGCUUUUCUUUUCUUUUUUCUUUUUUUGGCUUUUUUUUUUAUUUUGUUCUGUUUGAAGAGUUAUUUUCUUGUUGCACUGAUUUUAUUUUCUUAAAGGUAAUAUCUGCAAGGGGUUUGUAGUCACUUCUCCCCUCCCCAGUAAAGUAGCUGUAAGUACAAAUGCAGUUCUGUUGAUUCUCCCAUCUCCUUCUUAAGCCCUACAAAUGAGGACAAGCUAAGCAGAAAAUAGAGUUUUGUGUUCUUUCCUUUCUACUACUUUGCACCUCCUAAGCACAGUUUUGGUGACAUAUGGCACUUCUCCUAAAAAAAUGUCCUGCAAAGAAUCUCUGCCUGCCAUCUGAUGUAUCCAAGAAACUGAGUUCCUGUGGCCCAUUUCUGGAUUAACCCAACAUGAACUGAUGAAGGCCCAGGACAUGCACAAUUCUGCAGGUUAGUUAUGCUCAGCCAUAACAAUGUAAGGAUGCAUCUUGUUAUGGCUGACAGCAAUAUGGUAUGGGAGUCUGACCUGAUAUUUAGAAUAAAAUUAGCUGCUGGAAGGGAGAACAGGCAUUCUUAGUUCAGACAUGUAUUUUAGUAUUUGACUUUAUAAUUGAAAUAUUCCUUUAAUGUAGUUUUUAACUUGACCCAGCUGUGUUUUUAACACACACACUGGGGGUGGUGGGGAAACAUUAUCUGCAAUCAUAUCAUUCACUCCUCCUGGGUAAUGGGCAGGGGUGUGAUUUUUAGCUUACAGCAUAGCCCUACAACUCAACUGCCUGCAUAGAGUAAGUGGGAGUAAUGGAAAAGCUUCCUUUCUAAGUGUGCACGUCACUAGAAUGGGCAGAGAUGUUUCUUGUCAGCUCUUAAAUAUUUGCUGGCAGCAUCAAUACAGGGAUGAGUGUUGAGAUGUGGGAAUAAUGGGUUCGUUUCCAAGCUGUAUGGAGGAUGAAUCUAGAUGCCCCGCCGCCCUAUGUUAUAUAACAGUAUUAUAGUAUGUGAUUUCCCCUCUCCCUUUCCUGCAGCACAGCUCUCCCAGCCUCCCAGCCUGUGCUCAUCGCAGUGCUCUCUACAACAUGGCUCCUCCUCCCGAGCUGCCUGCCCAUUCCUUCUGGCCCGCAUCUCUUCCCUGUCCCUUGCUGGGGUAGCUGUAAUCCCCACAGGAAUGUGGCCCACGGCCUCGGGCAUGUGACUCCAGAGAGCUUCUGAUGGUGAAUGCAAAGCAGGAAAAAGCAAUCUUGUGACAUCUAGCAGCGUAGGAAGGGAAGCGCUGGGCAUCUGUGGGCUGUUCGGUGUGCGUGGCUGUCCAGCCACCUCAUCAGACAGAAAAACAGAGGCUAGACUUUUCGGCUGCAUGUGUUGUUUCCCUGUCCAUUGUGUCUGGGUGAUGUAUUCUCUGCCUGUGGUUUUAAUAAAUGUCUUUCUAAGCUACUUUCUGCUUCAGUCCCCUUCGGAAUAGCUCAUUCCAACUUGGCUGCUUCAGUAUGCUGAAGAUGUUAAGUCAGUUAUGUGGAAAAGGGGAAAAAAGAAAACUUCAUGUAGAACAUCUGAGAAAGCUGUAACUGUAUCUCUGUGAAGAUGCUAUAUGCUACACAGAAGUAUUUGCCAUGAGAAUCCCAAACUACUGCUAGGACCCAAGCUUGUGUUGGAUUCUAAUAAGCCUUUGCAGCUACACAAAAAAGUCCAGUCCACUGGCUUUGGCUUUAUACACACGUGAUUGUUACCAGGCCCCAGCUUUGAUAUAUUGGUACAAUACUGGAAAGAAACAAGCUGCAGAAAUCAGAUAUCCAUGGUUGUUUUGGUUGUGCCUUCCCUCAGAAGAGGACACGCUGAAUACGGAGUGAUUAAGACAGAUGCCUGGACAGGUGAAGGGAGGUGUUCCAGCAGUGGCAGUGCACACAGCAGAGGAGGGAACAAAUUGCUGCAAGACUGCAGGAGCCCAGGAGGAUGUUGCCAUGGGUAAGAGUAGUGAAAGAAGAACUGAGGAGGAAAGAGGAUGUGUUCAGAGUGACUGCAGAAAGCUGCUUAAAACAAGCACUUAGAAAACACUGGAAUACAGGGCAGUGGUCCCAUUUUGCCAGUCUUGCUCUUAAAGGGUUAUACUAAUGUAUCCAGGUAGCAGUUCACAAAGGAAGAGUCCUGUAUAUCUCCCUUAUUUAGGCAUAUGUUUAUCCAAAUUGGGUUUUGAUAAGAAGACUGCAGCUGGAUCUUUAUUAUCUGAGACAAGUGGCGAUAUUAGCUGUUCAGAGUUCAUGAUGGAAAUGUAUCUGCAUACUGGCGUGCAUCCAGCUGCACUUCACAAAGGUAAGUGGGACAUGAGAGUGCUGCAUUGCUCUUCUUUAACCCAUUUGCUGUAGAAGGGGGUACUGUGCCUCUCUGCAGGAAAGGCUGGUGGAACUACUGUGCUAAUAAACACACAUUUCUUGCUGCAGCAUAUGGGCUUCCCAGAUUCAUAAACCCAAGCAAUUCAUAGAUGAAUUACAAUUAAAUAUCCACACACACUUCCGUACUGCAGCCUAACAUGAGAGGCAUAGGCCUAAGUGUCUGGGCAUCUGCUGUCUGCUCUCCUGCACACACUGCUUGGCAGAGCACAGCCCCUUAAUCUUACUCCACCUCCAUUAAUUGUACCUUCAAAAUCAGAUGCACAGUGUCAUUCUAUAGAUGUUUUGCCAUGUUCUUCCAAGAGCAGCAUUCUCUCCUGCUCUCUCUUUUCCCUUUCCUUCUUCUUCCUUUUAUUUAUUUAUUGGACUGGAUGAUCCUGUGGGUCUUUUCCAACCUUAGCGAUUCUAUGAUUCUAUGAUUUGUUUGUUUGUUUGUUUGUUUAUUUAAGCAGCCCUUAUUGUCAAAUAGUCAGAAAUACUUUCAUUGCUGCUGGUCUUUUUGCCAAAAGAUUUCCAGGCCAAAGGUUCACUUGGGCUCUGAUAAUGACAGUGGGAAAUGAGGGCACCGAUGGAUCCCCACAACAAUUUUGUGUCACUUGUACAAGACCCAUAGGCUCAGUACUGUAGUAAGAUAAUGUAGCACUUGAUUACAAUGGAUGUAUUGCACUUACAGAAGGCAUCUUGUCGUGGGGCUCUGCAUAUCUGAAGUAAUAACCGCUGAUGUCAGGUAAGACAAUGGUAAUGGAAGCAGAUAAUUUUCCCAUUGUUAAAAUGCUAUAAAAGUCUUAAUUACAUGAAAUUUAGCUAGAUCUAGUGCUGGUGGCUGGAGGGAACAUCCUUCUGAGGUUCAGCCUUUCUCUUAGUCUGAUGAGAGCUAUUUAAAGAAGAAAGAAUUAUAUGUAAUUAUUACCCAUCUUGAGUUUCCAGGCAGCAAGGUUACCACAUGAAACUGCCAUUCAGAUAUUCUCAUUUGUCCCAGAAAGCUUGAACAAAGAUUUAUAAUCUGCUCUGAACUUAACGAGCCUCCUUCAGUGGUGAAGCCGCAUGAGGCACAAGAGCUGUCUUCUGCACAGUUGUAUAGCCACCUAACACAGUGCUUAUUCUCUUAUGGAUGUAGCAGACAACUUUGUCCUCUACCCCAUGUUCCUGUCAGUCACAGGAUAAGUUCUAGCCACUAUUGCAAGAACAUCCUAAACCAGUCUGCAAUUUGUAUUUCCUUGCCAAAGAUCUUAUCUGCUGCGGGUGCAAGUUGCACCAGAAAGGUUGCUGGUGCUGAAAAAUGUGCACUCCUCUGUUUCACAGCUCUGCUUUGUCAGGCUAGGUUAACUCACCUACAAGAGCUGGACUGAGCUGUCCUGUGUGAAAGCUCAUGCAGCAAGGCAGUGCUGCUCUGAUCGUGGGAGCAAUGUCUGUAUUUGAUUGGUCACCUCAGAACUUGCCGAUUAUUGUUCUUAGGAGCAGGCUGUACUUUUGCCAUCAUCAUGUCAGGCUCUGUGCUGCGUUUCUGCAGAAGUUCAUGCUUCGUAUUCCUAUGUUUGCAAAAAUGACAAAUGCUGAGAGUAAAAAUUUAUUCAAAUGAAUUGCUAUUUACAUAUUUACAGGGGAAAAAAAAGUAUGCCAGGGAUCCAAUGACCCUAUGAGAGAUGCGGUGUGGAUUUCAGUGGGACAUGGACUGGGCCUCAUAAGCUGCUUGUCUCACACCAACAACCCCCUGAUACUAUCAUGAAAACUUCCCGUUUACAGCGACAGGUGCCGCAGGGGGCUGUAUACUUGGAUAUUAUUAAUUCUUUCCUUAGGAGUGUUUAUUAACAAAUGCUUGCAAGUUGUAUGGUGUGGUGUGGUGUAAACAGGAAGCACUCCAAGGUACUGCAUUGCCCAUGUAAUGCAGCACAUAUUCCAACAGCUUGGCUUUUUUUUUUUCCAAAAUACUGCGACACCACUUCCUUCAAGAAGUCUCUCCUGCCUGCGUGGCUCAUUUCUGCUAUAGAUAUGCAAAGCUGCAAAAGAACCGAUUGUUUUAAAAAUGAAUGUUGAUUUGCUAGACUGGGAACUGAUGUCUGUAAUUUAUAUCCUAUCUUUAAAGUUAUGCAGUACAGACUCUUUGGGCGCUCUGAUCAGCAGACUGAACAAAGCGCAAGAGAAGAGGCUGCCACCUUUCCUCCUGCAGCAUAGUGUUGCCUGGAGAGCAGCGAUGCAGACUGCCCUGCAGGUACUGCAGUGCAUCUCAGCCCAAGCCCUGGGGCAGUGCCUCUUCUGCCACUCUGUGCCAGCAGGCUGGGCUCUGACCGGUGCAGGGAAACAGUUGUUCCAUUUCCAGUCAGCUCUUGUUGUCUGCCAAGAGCAGCAAUGGGAAAGCUAAGAGUGACCGUUCAUAUGUGGAAACUUUAUAUUCACAAUAACGGCGCUGAGGCCUCCAAGCUGUCUCAUAAGGGCUCCAUGCUCUUGUUGUGUGAUGUACCAGUGCUGUCUGUAUUCUGGGCUUUUAUGUGAGCAUCUCAGAAUCCCACUGGCACACUGUUUCCUAUGCCUUGUUCAGACAGUGCUAUGUACAACAGGAGCAGACAGCGGGGAAUUAUACUUGUGCCACCACAAGAUCACUACCUACAUGGUUGUUAUAAACCAAAACGAGUGCUAAGAACAUCACUUGAAAUGAAGUUCUAGUAGCAUUGUCAUGAAGGUUUGGUAUCAUUUCCUAAACUGGUUCUCAGUGAAGGUGCUUCUGUGUCUGCCCCAGGUGUAAUGCAAUUGGGCUGAUAUCAGGACUGAUGCUUUCUUCUCUAUCCUCCCAUCAGUCAAGCUCUUCAUCACACAUACCCCCUUGAUUUUUUAACUGUGAGUGAGAAAGAAUGAAAAUGAAAUUGCUGCAAUAUCUGGACCACAUAAAACCCCAAUAAUCCUGUGUCUAUGUUCUUUAACUUCUGCCCUUAUUGGAGGCAUCCCUUGUCCAGUGUGAAGUGGAACUGAGAGUGACUGGGGGAAACAGACAGUGUGUUUAAGUAUUUGUAAAUCAUGAGCCUUGUGAGGUUUUGUAAUAAUCUUACUGCCUAUUUUGUGUUUUUGUGUAUUCGUCUAGCAACUGAUGAUAUCAAAAACAGAGAGAUCAGGAGGCUGAUAUUACACGCUAAGUCUGUUCUGUAAAAUCUCAGUAGCCUUUUGGUGCAUGGAACUUCGGCACACGCAAACUGUGACUGCAGCGACGUCCUCGUAAGUCACCAUAACAUUCUGUGCAAACACUGACUGUGCAUGUGUUUUGUCACUCCUGCAGAAUAACUCUGGCUCAAUACUUGCAUCAUCCAUAGCUUGUUUACAGAAUUGGAAGUCUUGAGCAAAGCGAAGCUGACUCGUGGAGAAGCUGGUUUUCAAAAGAUACAAGCUCCAGAUAACUAAGGACAAGUGAAGCACACAACAAUAUAGAAAUCACUCGGUUUUACUGCAGCCAACUGAGACAAAGUGUGCUUUGAAGCUGGGAAAUUUCCAUUACUGAAGUGCAGGACAGUGCCUGGAUACUGCUGCUACUGCAGCUGAGAAAUAAAAGCAACUUAAUUUUACAUAGCAGCAAAAUGUCAGUAUGUUAAUUACAACUGUUAGAGUUUUAUAAGAUUUUAAGGAUGCCGUAAAAUGGAUUCCUUCUAAAAUAUUUAGGAUAUAAUUGUAAAUGACUUCUCUAAAACUAAGGAGCAUUAAAAGGACUUGAAAUUGUACCUAAGUUUUCAAGCUGUAUCAUAUUUGUGAACAUCAGAUCUGACAAGAACAUGACACGACAUCCCCUACGACAGUGACAGUGUGACAGCGGCAGAACGACAUCCAGUGUGAGUCCAAGGUUGUUACGGACAGCGUAGUUCUGCAGUUAAGGACUGUUUUUGCUCUCCGUGGGGUGCUCAAAACAAAUAUAGCUAUCUGUUCACCACUUUUAAGUCCAUAAUCUAUAAACCACCAUAAGCUUCCUGUAAAGUCAGUCAGAAUGCUGAGCAGAGAAGAAACGAAAUACUGGGGGCAAAAAAAAGUGAGUUCAUUUUGGCAUCAAUCAAAUUGCCCUGCACUUUGGGCAAGAUACUGCAUUUAACUUCCCAAUGGCAUAAAAUUGCAGAGAUGCUCAUUUAAGCCCGAGGUCACUUCACAUUGCCGAAGGGAUGGAUGACAUUUAAAUCAAAAUGCAUCCCAUGGGCUUUCAGCUGUAUGUCACUGGUUAAAUCGGGCCCAGGUAGGUUCUGAUUAGAAGCUAUUAGCAUUUGAUGCUCUUUAUGAAUCUGAGGAUGGUUCCCAGUGGAUCAGAGCUCGUAUCUGAGCAAUUUAAGUUUGUGUCACAUUCAUCACCAUGGUUCCUGACUGCCUUAGAAGUUAAAACACAUCUUUAUAAAACGCCUUGCAUGUCUUAUUUCUCUUUUUCUUCUCCUCCACUUGAAGUCUCCUUAAAUAGUGCUGGGAAAAUUCCUUCUGUACUGAAUGCCUGCAUUUGGUUUGGAUGAUGGGUGGGUUGGGGUCACCCCAAGGUACUGCGCACACAAACGCUGUGCUCUUGCAGCAGAUACCACCAGAGCUGUGCCUCCAGUGUGCCCAUACAAAUAAUGCAGCUAUUGCUGCAGUGAUGAUUUCAGGAGACACCGUUUUAAUUUUAGCAGAAAAAAAUGAAAUCCCCAACAAGCAACAUUGUAGGGCAGCUGUGUGUUGGUUCUUUUUCUAAGCCUGAUAAUGCUGUUCCUGGGAGCAGUGGGGCCUCUCAUAGUAUGCCACUUGCUUUUUCUGUUUACAGAACGUGAAGUUAACAGUUAAAGAUGGUAUCUGUAAGCACAGGGAGCCUCCAGACCCUGCCUGUAGGACGGACCUGUCUAUGGGCCUCCUCACUUGAUGCAAAGAUGGAGAUAGUGCAAACCACGGCAUGUUUAGCCCCACCUAUGGUAAGGCUUACCCUGUUUACUAAUACAGCCUUCAAACACAAGGCUGCAUUUCUGCCUGGGAAACUCUUCUUACCGCUGGUUUUGUUGCUGUUGGAGGCAUAGAAACAUUUUCUCCUCUCUGCUUUUCAUCAUUUUGUGGUAUCGGCGUUCCCUUAACAUAACCCAGUAUUUCGACCAUCAAACUAAUAACUUUAUUGAAACACUUUUACGUUCUUUCCAGAAUUGACACUUUAAUGUCACCUCGCUGAGGUAGAACAACAGCCAGUGUGGGUAAGGGCAGUGCAUUCAAAUGGGCGGAAAAACAAUUGGUAACAUUUCUACUUGGCCUGCCUAAUUCCAUAACAGUGCUGCUUCACUGAAAGGCAUACACGAAGCUCCAUCGCAAGAGGGACUGCUGGCAAAGCACACCACAGCCUUCUGACCUUGUUUAGCUCUAACUGGAUUAAACAUAUGGGAUCGCAGCACUCAUGGGAGAUGAGGGCUCUUCCACCAUCUCCUGGUCUGCCUGCUCGGUUUCCUUUUCCGUUCUGCUAUGCUUCAUUGAAGGCAGAAAUAACGUCCGUAUGCGGUAGCUCUGAUUCAGUGUUACUCUGGCAGGUUGUGUUUAAGCUGGGUUCCCUAGAUUACUGGAUCUGCGUUUGCCCAUGGCAGAUUUAUUUAAUCAGAACUGCAACCAUCGUUCAUUUUUGGAGUGCAGAGCCCUGGAAACCACGCUGGACUCCGUUUCGGCAAAUUUAAGCAUUUAUUCCCAUUUACCGCUGUCCAAAUUUCCUGAGAGAAAUAAAGCGGCGUUUGAAGUGGAGCACGCGGUUAGAACGACGCGCACCGCACACGUCUGCCAAGGGCAGCAGGACGGGAUCCCAACCCGGGCAGCCUCCGCUGCAGCGAGCAAAACCCGGGAGCAGCGGGACGGCCGCAGCGCUGCGCGGAGCACCGCCGGGAGAACCCACGGGAAGCGGCUGAAGCGAGGAGGGGUCGCAGCCCCACAGAGCCCGCGAGGCGCCCGGUGCCGAACG